UGUCAGUGAUGAAGAAAUCUAAGGCUGGUUUCUCAAAACAUUCGCAGCGGCCGCCUGAUAACUUUCGCCUUAGCCGGGCUUGAGAGUUUCUGUUGCUUCAAUCCUUCCUUGGAUGUGUGAGGCU